CAAAUGAAGAGUUUGAUCCUGGCUCAGGAUAAACGCUGGCGGCGUGCCUAAUACAUGCAAGUCGAACGCUGGAAACCUAGCUUGCUAGGUGGAAAGAGUGGCGAACGGGUGAGUAAUACAUAAGCAAUCUGCCCACAAAGACCGGGAUAACCUCUGGAAACGGGGACUAAUACCGGAUAGGUAAGGAGAAGGCAUCUUUUCUUUAUUAAAGGUUAAAAACACUAGUGGAUGAGCUUAUGGCGCAUUAGUUAGUUGGUGAGGUAAAGGCUCACCAAGACGAUGAUGCGUAGCCGGCCUGAGAGGGUGAACGGCCACAUUGGGACUGAGACACGGCCCAGACUCCUACGGGAGGCAGCAGUAGGGAAUUUUCGGCAAUGGGGGCAACCCUGACCGAGCAACGCCGCGUGAGUGAAGACGGCCUUCGGGUUGUAAAGCUCUGUUGUAAGAAAAGAUAAACCGGAAGAGAAUUUCAGUCAGACAUUAUCUUACCAGAAAGCCACGGCUAACUACGUGCCAGCAGCCGCGGUAAUACGUAGGUGGCGAGCGUUAUCCGGAAUUAUUGGGCGUAAAGGGUGCGUAGGCGGUCUGUUAAGUUCAUGGUCAAAUUGUGGGGCUCAACCCCAUCACGCCAUGGAUACUGGCAGACUAGAGUAUUGGAGAGGCAAGUGGAAUUCCAUGUGUAGCGGUAAAAUGCGUAGAUAUAUGGAGGAACACCGGUGGCGAAGGCGACUUGCUGGCCAAAGACUGACGCUGAGGCACGAAAGCGUGGGGAGCAAAUAGGAUUAGAUACCCUAGUAGUCCACGCUGUAAACGAUGAAUACUAAGUAUUGGGGAGACUCAGUGCUGCAGCUAACGCAUUAAGUAUUCCGCCUGUGGAGUAUGCACGCAAGUGUGAAACAUAAAGGAAUUGACGGGGGCCCGCACAAGCGGUGGAGUAUGUGGUUUAAUUCGACGCAACGCGAAGAACCUUACCAGGCCUUGACAUCCCUUGCAAAGCCCUAGAGAUAGGGAAGAGGUUAUCAAGGAGACAGGUGGUGCAUGGUUGUCGUCAGCUCGUGUCGUGAGAUGUUGGGUUAAGUCCCGCAACGAGCGCAACCCUUGUCUUCAGUUACCAGCAUUCAGUUGGGGACUCUGGAGAGACUGCCGGUGAUAAACCGGAGGAAGGUGGGGAUGACGUCAAAUCAUCAUGCCCCUUAUGGCCUGGGCUACACACGUACUACAAUGGCUAUUACAACGUGCAGCGACUGUGUGAACAGGAGCGAAUCACUGAAAGAUAGUCUCAGUUCGGAUUGGAGUCUGCAACUCGACUCCAUGAAGUUGGAAUCGCUAGUAAUCGCGGAUCAGCAUGUCGCGGUGAAUACGUUCUCGGGCCUUGUACACACCGCCCGUCAUACCAUGAGAGUUGGCAAUACCCGAAGCCGGUGGCCUAACCGCAAGGAAGGAGCCGUCGAAGGUAGGGCUAAUGAUUGGGGUCAAGUCGUAACAAGGUAUCCCUACGAGAACGUGGGGAUGGAUCACCUCCUUU
rnacentral:rRNA from 1 species